GACGAACGCUGGCGGCGUGCUUAACACAUGCAAGUCGAACGGAAAGGCCCUGCUUUGGUGGGGUGCUCGAGUGGCGAACGGGUGAGUAACACGUGGGUAACCUGCCCCUGCCUUUGGGAUGACUUCAGGAAACUGGGGCUAAUACCGGAUAGGAGCUCCUGCCGCAGGGUGGGGGUUGGAAAGUUUCGGCGGUUGGGGGUGGACUCGCGGCUUAUCGGCUUGAUGGGUGGGUAGUGGCUUACCAAGGCUUGGAGGGGUGGCCGGCCUGGGAGGGUGACCUGCCCCGCUGGGCCUGGGCUGCGGCCCAGCCUCCUAUGGGAGGCAGCGGUGGGGAAUAUUGUACAAUGGGCGGGGGCCUGGUGCGGCAACGCCGCGUGCGGUGUGACGGCCUUCGGGUUGUAAACCGCUUUCGCCUGUGACGAGGCGUGAGUGACGGUAAUGGGUAAAUAAGCACCGGCUAACUACGUG
rnacentral:rRNA from 1 species